rnacentral:rRNA from 1 species
AGCGGUGAAAUGCGUAGAGAUCUGAAGGAAUACCGGUGGCGAAGGCGGCCCCCUGGACAGAUACUGACACUCAGAUGCGAAAGCGUGGGGAGCAAACAGGAUUAGAUACCCUGGUAGUCCACGCCGUAAACGAUGUCUACUUGGAGGUUGUGGCCUUGAGCCGUGGCUUUCGGAGCUAACGCGUUAAGUAGACCGCCUGGGGAG